CCUACGGGAGGCAGCAGUGGGGAAUAUUGGACAAUGGGCGAAAGCCUGAUCCAGCAAUGCCGCGUGUGUGAAGAAGGCCUGCGGGUUGUAAAGCACUUUUCUGAAGGAAGAAACGGCCUGGGUUAAUACCCCAUGGCAAUUGACGGUACUUCAGGAAUAAGCACCGGCUAACUCCGUGCCAGCAGCCGCGGUAAU
rnacentral:rRNA from 1 species